rnacentral:rRNA from 1 species
GAUGAACGCUGGCGGCGUGCCUAAUACAUGCAAGUCGAGCGAACAGACGAGGAGCUUGCUCCUCUGACGUUAGCGGCGGACGGGUGAGUAACACGUGGAUAACCUACCUAUAAGACUGGGAUAACUUCGGGAAACCGGAGCUAAUACCGGAUAACAUGUUGAACCGCAUGGUUCAACAGUGAAAGACGGUCUUGCUGUCACUUAUAGAUGGAUCCGCGCCGCAUUAGCUAGUUGGUAAGGUAACGGCUUACCAAGGCAACGAUGCGUAGCCGACCUGAGAGGGUGAUCGGCCACACUGGAACUGAGACACGGUCCAGACUCCUACGGGAGGCAGCAGUAGGGAAUCUUCCGCGAUGGGCGAGAGCCUGACGGAGCAACGCCGCGUGAGUGAAGAAGGUCUUCGGAUCGUAAAACUCUGUUAUUAGGGAAGAACAAAUGUGUAAGUAACUAUGCACGUCUUGACGGUACCUAAUCAGAAAGCCACGGCUAACUACGUG